rnacentral:lncRNA from 1 species
GAACUUCCCCAAGUUAUUUUGGUGAAAAUUAAAAGACUGCGCUCUGUUUUGGCGGUAAAUUGAAAAAGAAAAUUAAAACAGGGCACAACCUGUAUAAGUUAUCGCAAAGUUAAGUACAUUAGCAAUAAAAAAAAUUAUUGUUGCCAAAUAUUCUACAAGAUAGCAAUAAAUUAAUUAAAUUGUUGCAAUUUAUUUAAAUUAGGCAACAAUAUUAUGGUUGUUGCAAAAAUAUUGUUGCAAUUUUUCUUAUAUUUGAGAUUUAUUAUAUUAAAAAUAGAAUAUAACAACAAUAUCAAAAUAUAUGGCAACAAUAAAAAUAUUGUGGUUAAAAAUUUCAAGAAAUACCAACAAUCAAAUCAAGUUGUUGCAAUUUAUUGUUAUAAGGCAACAACAAUAUAGUUAUUGCUAAAAAGUUGUUGCUAAAUCCAUACUUUCUUGUAGUCAGUAAGAAUUUGUUUUUUUUUUACGAAUUUGAUAUCGAUAAAUCUCCUCUCAUCUGUUUUUUUCAUUUAAUUUAUUUCUUGUUGUUUUCUAAUUUAAUUAAAAAAGAUUUCCUUGAUAAAUCUAAUUUCAUUUACUUUUUUUUCUUUUUUAUUUGUUUGUUUAUAUACAAUAAAAAAUACAUAGCAAAUAUUCAUUCACUUAAAGUAUAACUUGU